rnacentral:rRNA from 1 species
UACGGAGGGUCCAAGCGUUAUCCGGAAUCAUUGGGUUUAAAGGGUCCGUAGGCGGUUUUGUAAGUCAGUGGUGAAAGCCCAUCGCUCAACGGUGGAACGGCCAUUGAUACUGCAAGACUUGAAUUAUUGGGAAGUAACUAGAAUAUGUAGUGUAGCGGUGAAAUGCUUAGAGAUUACAUGAAAUACCAAUUGCGAAGGCAGGUUACUACCAAUAUAUUGACGCUGAUGGACGAAAGCGUGGGGAGCGAACAGG